AGCGAACGCUGGCGGCAUGCCUAACACAUGCAAGUCGAACGAGACCUUCGGGUCUAGUGGCGCACGGGUGCGUAACGCGUGGGAACCUGCCCUUAGGUUCGGAAUAACUCCCCGAAAGGGGUGCUAAUACCGGAUAAUGUCUUCGGUCCAAAGAUUUAUCGCCUUUGGAUGGGCCCGCGUUGGAUUAGCUAGUUGGUAGGGUAAAAGCCUACCAAGGCGACGAUCCAUAGCUGGUCUGAGAGGAUGAUCAGCCACACUGGGACUGAGACACGGCCCAGACUCCUACGGGAGGCAGCAGUGGGGAAUAUUGGACAAUGGGCGAAAGCCUGAUCCAGCAAUGCCGCGUGAGUGAUGAAGGCCUUAGGGUUGUAAAGCUCUUUUACCCGGGAUGAUAAUGACAGUACCGGGAGAAUAAGCUCCGGCUAACUCCGUG
rnacentral:rRNA from 1 species